rnacentral:rRNA from 1 species
CCUACGGGAGGCAGCAGUGGGGAAUAUUGGGCAAUGGGCGCAAGCCUGACCCAGCAACGCCGCGUGAAGGAAGAAGGCUUUCGGGUUGUAAACCUCUUUUCUGAGGGACGAAGAAAGUGACGGUACCUCAGGAAUAAGCCACGGCUAACUACGUGCCAGCAGCCGCGGUAAUACGGAGGUGGCAAGCGUUAUCCGGAUUUAUUGGGUGUAAAGGGCGUGUCGGCGGGAAAGCAAGUCAGAUGUGAAAACUAAGGGCCCAACGCUGAGCCUGCGUUUGAAACUGUUGUUCUUGAGUGCUGGAGGGGAAAGGGGAAUGCGGGGUGGAGCGGUGAAAGGCGUAGAGAUAGGGAGGAACAGCGGUGGCGAAGGGGGAUGGCUGGCGGGUAACUGACGCUGAGGGGCGAAAGCGGGGGGAGAAAACAGGAUUAGAUACCCGUGGAGUC